rnacentral:tRNA from 1 species
GCUUGAGUAGUUUAGAAUAAAAUUUUAGUUUGUGGAACUAAAGAAGGUUUAUUACCCUUAGGCC